CUGCUCGCCUGGGCAGCAGCAAACAUACUAACAACUGGAAUGCUACAGGGAAGAUUAGCACGGCCCCUGGGCAAGGGCGACAUACAGGUUGUGAAGUGUUCUGUGUUUCU